rnacentral:snoRNA from 1 species
CUUCUAUAUUUAAGAAGCAAUGGUAAGCACACUAUGAUUGACAAUGAAAAUACAUGAAUACCUGAGAAAC